rnacentral:misc_RNA from 1 species
AAGGAUCAUUAACACGUCCCAAUUCAUCCACACCGCAAACUAUUUUCUUUUCUCUCUUUCUAUUCGUGAGGCUUGAGCGCUGCGCUUGCUUGCAAAAGGAAGUGUUCAUGGCUAGUUCGCCUCGCAGUAGAAAGAAGAAAAACCCCUUUCAUAGACUAAUUGCUUAAUGGGUGCUCGUGGUUAAACACAACACCUUUUAAAAACAAAAACCUAAUACAACUUUCAGCGAUGGAUGUCUAGGUUCUC